ACACUGAUGUGUGUUGUAGUCGACCAGGAGCAAGACCAAAGGGGGAAAACCCUAACUUUCACAAAAUCUCAAGAUUAGGAAGAUAAUAAGAGCCCAAAAUAAUGCAUGAACUCGAAUUUUCAACCAUCUAAGCUUGUUCAUCAAAAGGCGUGAAGGAAGAAAGCUCGAACACUAGUAAAGCGGGAGGUGUACAAGAUCGAGGUAAAACUCCACUUUAGGCGAUUUGGAGAUAUGGAGCGAGCACGUGUCCACGCUUUAUCAUACCAAGCGCUUCCGCUAGUUAUAUGCACACUUUUUGGGUCCAUGUCUUGUUAUUUUGUUUAAUCUUGUUAGAAGUCAUACACCUAAAAACUUGUUGUCUUGUUGUGGAAAGUUUAAAGUUAAAAUGGGUUGUAGAUUGUCGUUAGUUUAAUAUGUUCAAAACAGGGGGCAUGUUCGUUUUACGAACGGGUCAUGCCCAAUUUUUGUAAAAAUUUCGUUAUGCAUCAAAUUUGGUAUUUUGAUGUCUUUAAAUUCUUUUUGUAAGUAAUAUGAUUUUAUUAUGAAAAAGCGGACCUUACAUCUUUUGAGCUAUAUUUACACUUCACUGAAAAAGUUCUGAUUAUGAAUCUUUUAUUUGAAACUCUAGUUCUUUUUUUAAUUUUUUUUUUGACGUGUUCAUCAUGCUUAAAAAAUAUUUGAGUUGUUUUUUCAAAACGAUUACACACUACACAUGUCAAAGCUGAUAUAACACAAGAUAUCGUUAAUGCAAAAUUACAUAUAAUAUAGACUAUAGUUAGAAUGAUCAUAACUUAACGUGUAUCAUCAGGUUGAAAAUAUGAAAGCUUUACUAGAAACUGAGGCGAGACUUUGAUUUUGUAAUAAUGUGAUGUGUCAUAUCACUGUGACAGUAUGGCUAUGAGUUUGUAAUUCUGACCGGUUUAUAUAUGAAUGGGUAGAUUUGGGUUAUGGAUUUUUUUUAAGGGAAAUCAAAAGAUUUAGCUAAAAGAAAAGUGUGUCAAAUUGGAGGUUUAGUGCUUAUAGCCUCCUAAAGCAUGUUAUUUCAAAAAAUUUGAUCAUAGUAAUAAGUUUUUAUUUAUGAUUAUGUUUGAGGCAUUAGCUACUAUUAUAUUAGACACAUAAAUGUAUGCAGUUCAACCCGCGUAGACCCGUAUGAAAAACAUGAACCCGUUUGACACUUUACAGUAUAUAUGGUCACACUCGUCUUGGUCAAGUACAGACGUCUUAUUCAUGUGAAACCGUUUCGAUCAGAUUGGCAUAAGUAGUGCGUAACAGCCUUAUUAUAAUUAUGUGGCCCACGUUAUGGAUCUACGUCGAGAUAGAAAAUGGCACUUACCAGAAGCCUUUAACUUUUUACGGAUCGCACACCAGCUACAAUCAUCAUAAUAUCCAGGAUCCUUCAUCUCACAUUUUCCACGGGUUGUUCCAAGCAACCAUCGUAUCACAGCAGUCCUGAAUAUUAUACACAACAGCGGCAACUGAUCCUUGACAUUGUGGGCCACGGGUGCCAACAUGCUCAAAGAUUGCCCACUGCCCGUUCUGGAUGUUUACCGGGUACUCCCCAACUACAUGUCCUUGCCAAUCGUGUGCAGUCACAUAGGUUAUAGGGUCCUGUGGCGUUGUAAACUCUGCCAAAUGUGGUGCUAACAGUGGCGACAUUGGCCCCUCCUGCAGCGGCUUUCUGAGACUGGGUUGAAACUUGCAACACCUGGUCGAGCUUGCCAUCUGCGUUUUGGUAGUUCUUGGCGGCUUGGGCCCUUUGGGUACGAGUUCCUUGAGUUAUUGGCUUGCCAAACACACGAACUGCGGUUGUUGCCAUUGUUUAGAUUGAAAGGGUAAUAGAGAGUAAGUGAUUGUUUGGUUGUCUUGGAUAUCUAUGUCAUGCGCGAGCCCCUAUAUAUAAGGGUCCCUGCGGGUAAAUCUUUUUCCGUAACUGCAUGAUUUGAAGGUGUAUAUAUUCCUUAUUUUGCUUAAUUUUAAAGCCAUGUAUAUAUUGUGAAUGCAUGUCACAAUCUUUGUCAUUGUCAUCAUCGACAAGCUUAAUAGUCAUUAUACUCUAGUGUUCCUUUUU